CGGUUGGUCACACUCCCCAGGGUGGUCACAUGCUCUGUGGUGAUCACACUCGCCAUGGGUGGUCACACUCCCUGUGGUUGGUUGCACUCCCAGUAGUGCUCACUCUCAGUGUUUGGUCACACUCCCCAUGGUUGGCCACAGUCCCUGUUUGGUCACACCCCCUGUGGUUGGUCACAUUCCCAUGGUGGUCGAACACCCUCUGGUAGGUCACACUCACCAUGGUUGGUUGCACUCCCCAUGGUGGUCUCAUGCCCUGUGGUUGGUCACCCUCCCUAUGGUGGUCACACCCUGUGGUUUGCCACACUCCCAGUGGUUGUUCACUCUCCCCAUGGUUGGUCACAGUCCCCUUGUUGUUCUUACUCCCUGUUGGUCACACUCCCCAUGGUUGGUUACACUUUGCCAUGGUUGCUUGCAUGCUCUGUGGGUUGGUCCCAUUCCUAGUGGUUGUUCAUACUCCCUGUGGGUUUUCUUCACUCCCCAUGGCUUGGUCACACUCGCCAUUCUUGGUCACACUACCUAUGGUUGGUCCUACUCCCCCUGGUUGGUCACCCUUCCUUUGGGUUGGUCACUGUCCCCAUGGUUGGUCACACUCCUAGUGGUUGGUCAUACUCCCUGUGGGUUUUCUUCACUCCCUGUGAGUUGGUCACUGUCCCCGUGGUUGGUCACACUCUCCGUGGGUUGGUUAUACUCCCCGUGGGUUGGUCACACUCCCUGUGGGUUGGUCACUAUUCCCAUGGUUGGUCACACUCCCUGUGGUUAGUCACUGUCCCCAUGAUUGGUUAUACUCCCUGUGGUUGGUCGCACUCCCUGUGGGUAGGUCACACUCCCUGUGGUUGGUUACACUCUCUGUGGGUAGGUCACACUCCCUGUGGUUUUCCAGACUCCCCAUAGUUGGUCACACUUCCCAUGGUUGGUCGCAUGCCCUGUGGUUGGUCACACUCCUAGUGGUUGGUCACACUCCCCAUGGUUGGUCACACUCCCCGUGGUCACUGUCCCCAUGGUUGGUUAUACUCCCUGUGGUUGGCCACACUCCCCAUGGGUUGGUCACACUCCCCGUGGUUGGUCACUGUCCCCAUGAUUGGUUACACUCCCUGUGGUUGGUCACAAUUCCCAUGGUUGGUCGCAUGCCCUGUGGUUGGUCACACUCCCCGUGGUUGGUCACUGUCCCAAUGGUUGAUUACACUCCCUGUGGUUGGCCACACUCCCCGUGGGUUGGUCACACUCCCCGUGGUUGGUCACUGUCCCAAUGGUUGGUUACACUCCCUGUGGUUGGCCACACUCCCCGUGGGUUGGUCACACUCCCCGUGGUUGGUCACUGUCCCCAUGAUUGGUUACACUCCCUGUGGUUGGUCACAAUUCCCAUGGUUGGUCGCAUGCCCUGUGGUUGGUCACACUCCUAGUGGUUGGUCACACUCCCCGUGGUUGGUCACACUCCCUGUGGGUUGGUCACGCUCCCUGUGGUUGGUCACACUCCCUGUGGGUUGGUCACACUCCCCGUGGUUGGUCAUUGUCCCCAUGGUUGGUUACACUCCCUGUGGGUUGGUCAGACUCCCUGUGGUUUUCCAGACUCCCCAUGGUUGGUCAUACUCCUUGUGGGUUUUCUUCUCUUCCCGUGGGUUGGUCACACUCCCUGUUGUUUUCCAGACUCCCCGUGGUUGGUCAGACUUCCCAUGGUUGGUCACAUGCCCUGUGGCUGGUCACGCUCCGCAUCGUUGGUCACAUGCCCUGUGCAUGGGUCACAGGUUCUGUGGUUGUUCCCAGGACCCAAGGGUGGUCUCCUCUCUUCAGGUCCUGGGGGAAUGGAUAAAUCCAGGGUAG
ensembl:lncRNA